rnacentral:rRNA from 1 species
GACGAACGCUGGCGGCGUGCUUAACACAUGCAAGUCGAACGGUGACGAUCAAGCUUGCUUGGUCUGAUCAGUGGCGAACGGGUGAGUAACACGUGAGUAACCUGCCCCAGACUCUGGGAUAACCCCGGGAAACCGGAGCUAAUACCGGAUAUGACAUGCCCCUGCAUGGGGAGUGUGUGGAAAGUUUUUCGGUCUGGGAUGGACUCGCGGCCUAUCAGCUUGUUGGUGAGGUAAUGGCUCACCAAGGCGACGACGGGUAGCCGGCCUGAGAGGGCGACCGGCCACACUGGGACUGAGACACGGCCCAGACUCCUACGGGAGGCAGCAGUGGGGAAUAUUGCACAAUGGGCGAAAGCCUGAUGCAGCGACGCCGCGUGAGGGAUGACGGCCUUCGGGUUGUAAACCUCUUUCAGCAGGGAAGAAGCGCAAGUGACGGUACCUGCAGAAGAAGCACCGGCUAACUACGUGCCAGCAGCCGCCGUAACAC